rnacentral:ribozyme from 1 species
CUGCGUGUAAAUAUAUAUUUGCACAAUCAUCAACAUUGGUGUUAUUAUACAAAAAAAAAAUAUAAAAAAAUAUGUAUUAUAUGUAAAAGGCCAUCUGUUCCUUAUUUUU